AUUCGUUCGUUCAUUUCGACGAUAUCAAAAUUCCUGUUCGGGAAUGUGUUCUUAUCACUGUCGUGCUUUAAAAUUGCAAUUUUUACUAAAUUUAAUUGUAAUUAUCGAAUUAUUUCAAAGUUCCAACGCCAUGAAAGCUUUAAUUCAACGUGUCGCCAACGCUAGUGUCACUGUUAAUGAAGAAGUUAUCUCAUCUAUCAACAGAGGAUUAUGUGUUCUCAUCGGUAUCCACAGAGAUGAUAAAGAAUCUGAUAUAGAAUUCAUUGUUCGAAAGCUCCUCAACUUGAGAUUAUUUGAAAGUACCGAUGGCAGUGGCCGUAAAUGGAAUUCCAAUGUUGUAGAAAAUGGUUAUGAAAUCCUAUGCGUUAGCCAGUUCACAUUAUACCAUACUUUGAAAGGAAACAAGCCUGAUUUUCAUCAUGCUAUGAGUCCAUCUGCUGCCGAACCGUUUUAUAAUCAGUUUCUCAGUUGUUUACGAACUGAAUACGAAGAAAGUAAAAUCAAAGAUGGAAAAUUCGGCGCUUUAAUGCAAGUAAAUCUAGUCAACGAUGGUCCAGUAACUCUAGAAAUCGAAUCGCCGCCAACGAAGAAUUGAACACCCGGAGACGAAUAUUAAAAAUAGAUUUUAUUAUGGUACAGUUAUGAGAAUUUACAACAUUAAUGAGAAGUCCAGAUCAGAAAGCACCUUCUAAGAAUAUCCUCAAGAAUUACGUGAACGUUUGUCGGUGUUCGUUGUUUUUAUUAAUUUUUCAUUUUAUACGAAUAAAUUAUUUUUCGAAAGGC